rnacentral:lncRNA from 1 species
GUUUGUUUAUGUUAUGACUCUAUUUCUUUCCCUUUUUCUUGUUGCAGCUAACAUUGACGGUAACCCAUCUCUUUCUUGUUAAAUUUUCUUCUUAUAUUUUAAUAUAAUCUUAUAUCCCUUUUAAUUAGUAACAUUUUUAUGUUUUGUUUUGUUUCAUUACAGUAAUUUAUGACUGUGAUAAAGACUCCCAAUGUGUAAACAAAGUUAAGUGUAAGGCUAAACUAAUUCCGGUUUGUAGAAACCACAAAUGUAUUUGUGAUCCUCAUCUUGGUCCGAGAACAACUUGGAGUGCAAGAUCGUAGAGAGUGCACGAAUUUCCUAUAUGGUAGAAUGAUUUCUUGAACUACCAAAAUAUCAAAUAGUUUAUGAUAAAAUAUUUCCUACAUUGGCAUCCAAUAAAAAUUGAAUUAUUUUUCUUUUUAUUUUUCCAUUCCAUAAUUUCACAUACCAUGCAGUUAUGGUUUUUUGUAAUUUAAGAUGGUGGUAAUUAAUAAAAUGAAAUAAAGUAGCAAAUGCUAUAAUUUAAAUUGAAUUCUUCCAUAACACUUUGUUUUCCUUAUACUUCAACUUAUUAUUUUGAGACACACUACUUUUACAAAGGAUUGUCGUCACAUACUUGUGAUUAGGUCCAUAGCACAAAAUGUAUGCAUGAAUGCAAAUUAAACACCUAUGUUAGUAAUCAUAAGGAAU